rnacentral:rRNA from 1 species
GACGAACGCUGGCGGCGUGCUUAACACAUGCAAGUCGAACGAAGAGCGAUGGAAGCUUGCUUCUAUCAAUCUUAGUGGCGAACGGGUGAGUAACGCGUAAUCAACCUGCCCUUCAGAGGGGGACAACAGUUGGAAACGACUGCUAAUACCGCAUACGAUCUAAUCUCGGCAUCGAGGAUAGAUGAAAGGUGGCCUCUACAUGUAAGCUAUCACUGAAGGAGGGGAUUGCGUCUGAUUAGCUAGUUGGAGGGGUAACGGCCCACCAAGGCGAUGAUCAGUAGGCGGUCUGAGAGGAUGAACGGCCACAUUGGGACUGAGACACGGCCCAGACUCCUACGGGAGGCAGCAGUGGGGAAUCUUCCGCAAUGGACGAAAGUCUGACGGAGCAACGCCGCGUGAGCGAUGACGGCCUUCGGGUUGUAAAGCUCGGUUAAUCGGGACGAAAGGCCUUCUUGCGAAUAGUGAGAAGGAUUGACGGUACCGGAAUAGAAAGCCACGGCUAACUACGUG